GAUUUUAACUUUACUGUGUGAUUUACAUGAUUACCUGAUGUAUUAUUGUUAGUAUGUUCUGGUAUGCAUGUAUCCUCUUCUACAUGGAGAUUUUCUGUUCCAGCAUAGUAUGUGAGAAUCAAGUUAGCAUCUAGUUAUUAUUUGUAACUUCAUUGAGGAAUAUUUUAUAUCGAAUAUAUCUUGUGCAGGCAUGGGCGUCAUCAUGUAGUUCUUUUGGUGACAUUCCGUAUGAUUUAUUGCUUUCCUGCUUAGAGCACCCUUGGUUAACUGUGGAAUGUGAGAAACAACUCGGUGAAGCGCUUGAAACUUGGCUUGCUAAUAACAAUAAAUCUUUGGAUGGCUUACCUAGCAACUCCAGCAGUGACAAAUUCGAUAUUCUUAAGAAGGUAAAAGUUUCUCUUUUGCCUUUGGAAUAUGCUGCAGG